UACGUAGGGUGCAAGCGUUAUCCGGAAUUAUUGGGCGUAAAGAGCUCGUAGGCGGUUUGUCGCGUCUGCUGUGAAAACUGAAGGCUCAACCUCCAGCCUGCAGUGGGUACGGGCAGACUAGAGUGCGGUAGGGGAGAUUGGAAUUCCUGGUGUAGCGGUGGAAUGCGCAGAUAUCAGGAGGAACACCGAUGGCGAAGGCAGAUCUCUGGGCCGUAACUGACGCUGAGGAGCGAAAGCGUGGGGAGCGAACAGG
rnacentral:rRNA from 1 species